CCUACGGGCGGCAGCAGUGGGGAAUAUUGGACAAUGGGCGAAAGCCUGAUCCAGCCAUGCCGCGUGUGUGAAGAAGGCCUUCGGGUUGUAAAGCACUUUCAGUGGGGAAGAAAGCCUUGGGGCUAAUACCCUCGAGGAAGGACAUCACCCACAGAAGAAGCACCGGCUAACUCCGUGCCAGCAGCCGCGGUAAUACGGAGGGUGCGAGCGUUAAUCGGAAUUACUGGGCGUAAAGCGCGCGUAGGCGGUCUGAUAAGCCGGUUGUGAAAGCCCCGGGCUCAACCUGGGAACGGCAUCCGGAACUGUCAGGCUAGAGUGCAGGAGAGGGGGGUAGAAUUCCCGGUGUAGCGGUGAAAUGCGUAGAGAUCGGGAGGAAUACCAGUGGCGAAGGCGGCCUUCUGGACUAACACUGACGCUGAGGUGCGAAAGCGUGGGUAGCAAACAGGAUUAGAUACCCUUGUAGUC
rnacentral:rRNA from 1 species